CAACCCAUGAGCAUGGAACAUUUUUCCAUUUCUUUGUGUCUUCCUCAAUUUCUUUCAUGAGUGUUCUAUAGUUUUUGGAGUGCAAAUCCUUUGCCUCUUUGGUUAGGUUUAUUCCUAGGGAUCUUAUGGUGUUUUCUAAAGCAGUACUGAAUAAGUCCUUUUUAAAGCAUAAAGGAAAGCAGCUUAUGUACUUUUGGGUAAGCUUUUCUAAGGAUUAACAGUCCUUGGAAAGCUAGCUGCUUUUCAGAAACUUCUAAAAGAAAGAAAAAUUAUAAACUCUAAACAGUUCAUAUCAGCAUUACCUUACAGUGUUGGUUGAGAGAUUAACAUCUCAUAGGAUUGUUGUAAGCACCUAGUACUUACCAAGCUCUUAAAAUCGGACACUGCUGUUUUCCUCGGUACUGAGAAAAUUAUGGUAUAUUUCGCCUUUUAGCUUUGUUACUUGCCAUCCCUUUUGACUGAAAUACCCUCAUCCUUUAAUUCCUGCCCAUUCUCUGGGUUUCAGCUUAAAAGUGAUUGCCUCUAGAAAGGUAUCUCCCUGGAGAUAAGCCAGAAUAGACAGAAGAGAAGUCUGGAAUAGAUGCCUCUUCCUCUUUUUUUUUUUUUUCUUCAUAUCCUGUACUUAACCAAAGUAUAGCAUAGUAUUUGUCACAGUAUAUUGCAAUGAUGUGUGAUUGUUUUAAGUUUCCAACUAUAAACUGGAAGUGGACUUAGAUGACCUCUGGAGUCCCUUAUAGAAUUACAAUGUUGUAUCUGGGUGGAUGAGUUUCUGGUUUUCAUUUUAUUCUGAUUUUAUUUUUAGAAACAACAGCAAAUUUGCCACGAGGGGGCACCAAUGAACAGUUUUUCCAAAGGCAGUCACAAUCAAAUGAUAGCUUCAGUGGUUUCUAGACUUAACAUGUGUAAGAAUCAUUUGGCAAACAUUUUUCUUUAAAUACAGUGAGGGGCCUCUCCCUCACAUGACGGGGACUUUGGCAUCUGUAUAUAUUUUGAAACUUUUUCACAUUGUGAUUCAUGCACUGCUAGAUCUGGUUACCUUUUUUUAGUCAAAGGCAGUGGUUCUUAAACGAUUUGGUCUCAGGUCGCCUUUGCACUCUUAAAAAUUGUUGAGGACUCCAGAGAGCUUUGGUUUACAUGGUUUGUACCUGUUAGUAUUUAUCAUAUGAGAAAUUAUUUAUUAGUUUAUUUAAAAAUAGGCCAUCAUGGUUUUUUUUUGAAAAUUAGAAGAAAUGGCGCUGUUUUACCUUUUGAAAAGGUUUAAAUGUAUGCCUUAAUAAAAGACGGCUGGAUUCCUAUAUCAGCAUUCAAAUUGUUGCAGUAAGUUAUCUUGGGUGAAGUAUAUAAAGAAAAUCUAACCUCAUUCAGAUAUAUAAUUAAAAAGAGGAAGAGUAUGUUAAUAGCCCUGCCAAAUAACUUAUGAUAUUCUUUGAUAUUAUAAUACAACCUGGUAAAUGGUAAUUUCUUGAAGUUUAGUUGUAAUAUGGAAUCUCAAAGCAUAUCCAUGAAUUUUUAUAUUCUGUUAUAUUAAAAUGUGUUGUUCUGUCCUGCUCUUUGAAUGAAUUUUAUAAUAGGAAUUACAGCAUGAAUUUAUAACAUGAUGCAUUGUCUUUUGGAAAAUAAUGAUUCACUGAAUUAUUCAGAUUUUGAACAUAUUGAUAUAUUUCAUUAUACAAUAUAAAAAAAAUGUGUUAAUAUUGCCACUGAUCUCAUCAGAAAAGUCUUAAGUAUUAGGAACUGUAAGCUUCUGAUAAUGGUUACAAAUUUUUCAAAAUAAUAUAUAUUUUUUAAAGCUCAAGUUUUAUCACAGACAAGAAAUACCAUUGAUUUUUCUUGAAAUGACAGGAUCACUUUAUUCAUUUUUGAGGACACAUCUGCCAAAUACUCAUGUUGAGUAACCACAGUUUGCCUGCCAGUAGUUAUUUGAACAGUGUGCCGUGAAAAAAAGCAGCAAGUUUAGCUUACAAGUCCUACAGUGCCUUUCUUCAAGACAACCUCAUACUUUGAAAAGAAAAUUGACUAAUCAAAUCAGAUUUACAUGAUCCAUAGUGGAAUGGAGGAGACUUUUAAUAAGAAAAAAGAAGAAACCAGAUGAAGAUAGCAGUCCUGAGUUGUGCCCUGGAAUUUAUCUUAAUACUUAGAAACUGGAGCAGCACCACUGUCUCAGCAGUGACAAUAAAUCUUUUUUAAAUCAUUAA